rnacentral:rRNA from 1 species
CGUCCAGACUCCUACGGGAGGCAGCAGUGGGGGAUAUUGCACAAUGGGGGGAACCCUGAUGCAGCGACGCCGCGUGGGUGAAGGAGUGCUUCGGCAUGUAAAGCCCUAUCGGCAGGGAAGAAGCAAGACGGUACCUGACUAAGAAGCCCCGGCUAACUACGUGCCAGCAGCCGCGGUAAUACGUAGGGGGCGAGCGUUAUCCGGAUUCACUGGGUGUAAAGGGAGCGUAGACGGCCAUGCAAGCCAGGGGUGAAAGCCCGGGGCCCAACCCCGGGACUGCCCUUGGAACUGCCGGGCUAGAGUGCAGGAGGGGCAGGCGGAAUUCCUAGUGUAGCGGUGAAAUGCGUAGAUAUUAGGAGGAACACCAGUGGCGAAGGCGGCCUGCUGGACUGCAACUGACGUUGAGGCUCGAAGGCGUGGGGAGCAAACAGGAUUAGAUACCCGGGUAA